UACGUAGGGUGCGAGCGUUAAUCGGAAUUACUGGGCGUAAGCGUGCGCAGGCGGUUCGUUGUGUCGGCGGUGAAAGCCCCGGGCUUUAACCUGGGAAUGGCCGUUGAAACUGGCGAACUGGAGUGUGGCAGAGGGGGUGGAAUUCCGCGUGUAGCAGUGAAAUGCGUAGAGAUGCGGAGGAACACCGAUGGCGAAGGCAGCCCCCUGGGCUAACACUGACGCUCAGGCACGAAAGCGUGGGGAGCAACAGG
rnacentral:rRNA from 1 species